GUACCGUGGGGGUACGCUCUUAACCCUUCCCCACCUCACGGCAGCGCUCUCCUGACUCGUAUACAGACUUUUUCUGUCUCUGAAGCGGGUCCCGGCGCCCAGUCCUGCCGCGGGGGUGGCAGGGAGCUGUUGGCUCUGGGAUGGGGGAGCGGGGUGGCUGCGGUCCGGGAGGCUGCCUCACCAGAUCUCCAAGGAAAAGAGGAAAGUUCCCACUGACAGUCCCAGGGUGGUAGCACCGUCCCAGGGGAACGCAGACCUUGCAGUUCCAGGGUUUGGAAGCAAAUGGGUUCCAAACUGUUCCCACACCCCGGGGAGCUUUCCAAGCCGUCAUCAGAUUCAAACACACGCGUGUUAGCUUGGAAGUGGCAGGUUUAUCUUACCUUAGGGUAACCCUGGACUUCUUCCUCUGCACCCAUGGGGUUGGAUGUGCUGCUACUUAUUGUUCACAUCCAGUUUAAUUCAUCCUUCAUGUCGGUGUUUUUCCUCGCAUUGAGGGGCGUGUCGAAGUCGGGAAUCCGCCGCGACCGCUGGCAGCUGGCGUGGGGAGCUCUGCCCGUGUCUGCGCUGCGUCCCGUGGUUUCCUCUGGCUCUACAACAUGGAAAAACAUCCUGAUCCCUAUUUGUGUUGCUGAGGUGUCCGAGGUCUAUUCAGCUCCUCACGCAGGAGCUGGUGGGUAUCAUGCAUCCGCCCUGACACCCAGCCCUGGACCUUUUCCACCCCUGUAGUGUUUUCCGAGGUGAGCGCGUGCCAGCUUUCCUCCUUGUGCUGAAGCAAGAACAUAGAAGAGCUGCUGCAGAUUCCCAGGCAAUGAGCCCUGGUGGCAGCGGGGCAGGACGGCCCCACUCGCACGGCCCCAGCUGGCGUCACCGGUAAAACAACGGAGCUGCAGGAGCCGUUGGAUGGAGGGAUGCUGCGGGGCGGGCGGCGCCUCCGCUCCUUCGGAGGCUCCUGGGGAGAUAAAUGCCAGCCAGCAAGGACAGGAC